rnacentral:rRNA from 1 species
CCUACGGGGGGCUGCAGUGGGGAAUAUUGGACAAUGGGGGCAACCCUGAUCCAGCCAUGCCGCGUGUGUGAAGAAGGCCCUCGGGUUGUAAAGCACUUUCAGUGAGGAAGAACGCCUGGUGGUUAAUACCCAUCAGGAAAGACAUCACUCACAGAAGAAGCACCGGCUAACUCCGUGCCAGCAGCCGCGGUAAUACGGAGGGUGCGAGCGUUAAUCGGAAUUACUGGGCGUAAAGCGCGCGUAGGUGGCUUGAUAAGCCGGUUGUGAAAGCCCCGGGCUCAACCUGGGAACGGCAUCCGGAACUGGCAAGCUAGAGUGCAGGAGAGGAAGGUAGAAUUCCCGGUGUAGCGGUGAAAUGCGUAGAGAUCGGGAGGAAUACCAGUGGCGAAGGCGGCCUUCUGGACUGACACUGACACUGAGGUGCGAAAGCGUGGGUAGCAAACAGGAUUAGAUACCCCAGUAGUC